UGUAAGCGUAUACCAAAGUUGUUGCAGUUAAAACGCUCGUAGUCGGAAUUUGGCAGUUCCGGAAGUGUGCACGUCGUGUGCGCACUUUGCGGGGACUGCUUUUGUGGUCUUGCGUAGGAUGAGGCACUUUCAUUAGUGAACGUCCUCACGCAACCACUCUUUACUGUGAGAAAAUCAGAGUGCUCAAAGCAGGCAUUUGCCGUGAAUGCAUUAGCAUGGAAUAAUAGAAUAGGACUCGGUUCUAUUUUGUUGGUUUGUUGGGACUGAGUAAUGAUUAAGAGGGACAGUUGGGGGCAUUUGUAUUCCGGCGCUAGAGGUGAAAUUCUUAGAUUGCCGGAAGACAAACUGCUGCGAAAGCGUCUGCCAAGGAUGUUUUCAUUGA
rnacentral:rRNA from 1 species